UUUUCCCUUUUGCUUUAAUAAAAACAAAGACCUAGAACAAUCGAAUAUCGAAAUUGAUAUCUCCGCAAUCAAGAUUAACAUCUCCAAGGCAUUCAUUUCAAAAAGAUGCGGAAGUUUGUCCAUUGCUAUCGUGAAGGCAAAUAGGAAUAUACGAUAAUCGAAUCAAAUUUGAAGGGAGUAGAAACUUAUACCGAUGUUACAAUUGAAGGUACAAACGGAUAGGGUCUGAAGAUGUGACAAUUGAAGAAAUUUGAUUCUUAUGAAGAACUUAUAGAAAACCGAAAUAGUAUGAGGUGUAACUCAAAAUACUUCAAGAGCAAAG